rnacentral:rRNA from 1 species
UAGGGAAUCUUCGGCAAUGCACGAAAGUCUGACCGAGCAACGCCGCGUGAGUGAAGAAGGUUUUCGGAUCGUAAAACUCUGUUGUUAGAGAAGAACAAGGACGUUAGUAACUGAACGUCCCCUGACGGUAUCUAACCAGAAAGCCACGGCUAACUACGUGCCAGCAGCCGCGGUAAUACGUAGGUGGCAAGCGUUGUCCGGAUUUAUUGGGCGUAAAGCGAGCGCAGGCGGUUUCUUAAGUCUGAUGUGAAAGCCCCCGGCUCAACCGGGGAGGGUCAUUGGAAACUGGGAGACUUGAGUGCAGAAGAGGAGAGUGGAAUUCCAUGUGUAGCGGUGAAAUGCGUAGAUAUAUGGAGGAACACCAGUGGCGAAGGCGGCUCUCUGGUCUGUAACUGACGCUGAGGCUCGAAAGCGUGGGGAGCAAACAGG